rnacentral:rRNA from 1 species
CUGGCUCAGAUUGAACGCUGGCGGCAUGCUUUACACAUGCAAGUCGAACGGGGUGGAGGGGCAACUCUCCAUUCAGUGGCGAACGGGUGAGUAAUGCAUCGGAACGUGUCCCGUAGUGGGGGAUAACCCGGCGAAAGCCGGACUAAUACCGCAUAUGCUCUACGGAGGAAAGUGGGGGAUCCGCAAGGACCUCACGCUAUGGGAGCGGCCGAUGUCCGAUUAGCUUGUUGGUGGGGUAAUGGCCUACCAAGGCAACGAUCGGUAGCUGGUCUGAGAGGAUGAUCAGCCACACUGGGACUGAGACACGGCCCAGACUCCUACGGGAGGCAGCAGUGGGGAAUUUUGGACAAUGGGGGCAACCCUGAUCCAGCCAUGCCGCGUGCGGGAAGAAGGCCUUCGGGUUGUAAACCGCUUUUAGUCGGGAAGAAAAGGCACAGGUGAAUACCCUGUGUUUUUGACGGUACCGGCGGAAUAAGCACCGGCUAACUACGUGCCAGCAGCCGCGGUAAUACGUAGGGUGCGAGCGUUAAUCGGAAUUACUGGGCGUAAAGCGUGCGCAGGCGGUUCGCUGUGUCCGAUGUGAAAGCCCCGGGCUUAACCUGGGAAUGGCAUUGGAAACUGGCGGGCUUGAGUGUGGCAGAAGGGGGGUGGAAUUCCGCGUGUAGCAGUGAAAUGCGUAGAGAUGCGGAGGAACACGAUGGCGAAGCAGCCCCCUGGGCUACACUGACGCUCAGCACGAAAGCGUGGGGAGCAAACAGAUAGAUACCCUGGUAGUCCACGCCCUAAACAUGUCACUGGGUGUUCGGGAGCGAUUCU